AUGCCCAAAUUCAAGGUGACACGUGGGGCCAGAAAUCAGGAGAAGUAUGCACCGCUGGCCGAGCAGAUCCUGAAAGUAGCCUAGGGCGUGAGGUCGAAGAGGAGGAAGAGUAUGUGGGACCCCAGCUAAGCAGACGGAUUUUGCAGCAAGCCCUACAACAGCAGGAGGAGCUCGAAACUGACCAUGGGGCUGGAGAUCGGUCAGCACCACCGUGAGAGCGCACCACGCAGCUGGGGCCGGAAUUGCCACAGAAUGGAUCGGAUGAGGAGGAUGAGGAAUGGCCUACCCUGGAGAAGGCAGCCAAAAUGACAGGGGUGGACCACCAGGCAGAGGUGAUCGUGGAGUGCCAUUAAAAUGUUCAUGAACAAGAACCCUCCCGUGAGGCGCACCCUGGCUGAUAUCAUCAUGGAGAAGUUGACUGAGAAGCAGACAGAGGUGGAGACUGUCAUGUCAGAGGUAUCAGGCUUCCCUAUGCCUCAGCUGGAUCCCCGGGUCUUGGAAGUCUACUGAGGAGUUCGGGAGGUGUUAUGUAAGUACCGCAGUGGGAAACUGCCCAAGGCUUUUAAGAUCAUCCCCUCACUGUUCAACCGGGAGCAGAUCCUCUAUGUCACUGAGCCUGAGGCCUGGACUGCAGCCGCCAUGUAUCAAGCCACCAGGAUUUUUGCCUUUAACUUGAAGGAGUGCAUGGCUCAGUGCUUCUACAACCUUGUCCUGCUUCCCCGAGUGCGAGAUGACAUUGCUGAAUACAAACGACUCAACUUUCACCUCUACAAGGCGCUCCAGAAGGCCCUGUUCAAGCCUGGAGCCUGGUUCAAAGGAAUCCUGAUCCCAUCGUGUGAGUCCGGCACCUGUACCCUCCGAGAAGCCAUCAUCGUAGGCAGCAUCAUCACCAAGUGCUCCAUCCCCGUGCUGCACUCCAGUGCAGCCAUGCUGAAGAUCACGGAAAUGGAAUACAGCGGUGCCAACAGCAUCUUCCUGUGCCUGCUGCUGGAUAAGAAGUACGCAUUGCCUUACUGUGUGCUCGACCCUCUGGUCUUCCACUUUCUGGCGUUCUGGACGGAAAAGCGCCAGCUACCUGUCCUCUGGCACCAGUGCCUGCUGACACUAGCUCAGCGCUACAAGGCUGACCUGGCCACAGAGCAGAAGGAGGCCCUCCUGGAACUGCUUCGGCUACAGCCCCACCCGCAGCUGUCCCCUGAAAUCAGACGUGAGCUUCAGAGUGCAGUCCCCAGAGACGUGGAGGAUGGUGUUGUCACCAUGGAAUGAGAGCAGUCACCUGUGUUGGCCCAGGGGGCGCAGGACCACCCCAGGACCCCAGCUGGUGUAGUUAAAGACCUAGGUCAAGACACUGAAGGGUUACUAUGGCUGCCGUGGCCUAAUCCUGGGCAAGGAGGACUGCAUCUGGUUGG